UACGGGGGGGGCAAGCGUUGUUCGGAAUUACUGGGCGUAAAGGGCGCGUAGGCGGUUUGCUAAGUUGAAUGUGAAAACUCUGGGCUUAACCCAGAGCCUGCAUUCAAUACUGGCAGGCUAGAGUUCUGGAGGGGAUAGCGGAAUUCCUGGUGUAGCGGUGAAAUGCGUAGAUAUCAGGAGGAACACCGGUGGCGAAGGCGGCUAUCUGGACAGAGUCUGACGCUGAGGCGCGAAAGCUAGGGGGAGCAAAACAGG
rnacentral:rRNA from 1 species